GUUCACUUCAGGACCCCGACCCAUGGACCCCACCUAUGGACCCCACCCAUGGAUCCUACCCAUGGACUCCACUCAUGGACCCCACCCAUGGACCCCACCCAUUGACCCCACCAUGGACCCCACCUAUGGACCCCACUGUGGAUCCCCCAUGGAUUCCAACCAUGCAAUGGUGUUACCCAUAUUUAAGAACUCAUCUCAACCCAGUGAUAGGAGGUGAAAUCUCGUGAUUGGCACCAUUUAUUAUUCAUCUCAGCAUUUAUGUAAGCGAAUGAGAACAGAAGAUCUGCAAAAGGGGCCUUAAAGGAAGAAGAAGAUUGCAUUGUGUUUUACAAUGACCCCUCUUCAACCCAGGAACAGUUCCAAUUCCAGAACCUGCAGAUGUGAUUGUGAGUAAAAGAGUUUUUAUGACUACACUGGAGGUUCUUGAGAUGAGGUCAUUUCUCAGAGUGUCUAGAUGAUCCCUGGUAUCAAUAACAAGUGUUCUUAUUAGAGUGAGAGAAGAGACACAGAGAUAAAGAGAAGGUCACAUGAAACUAGAGGAAAAGCAUAACAUAGUUCCAAACCCCUAAGGGCAACAGAAGCCUGGGGAAAUGAGAUUUUCCCCUAAUGUAUUUGGAGGGACUCAGACCUGGUGACAUUCAUCUCGGAAGGAACGCUUUAAGCCCCAUAGCAUGUGGAGAUUUGUUUGAGCAGCUUCAGAAAGCUAAGGUGAUAGGUCCCAGGACAGCUAUGAAGACCAGGCAGGCAGGCAGGUAGGAUGGAAUCUCACAGGAAUUGAUGCCCCAAGUUCAUAGAAACACAAAGUGAGACCCUUGCAAGAACUCAGGAGUCAGCUAAAGACUUCUAGUCUGCCUCACUCCAGUUGUAGUUGCAAAGAGUGGGUUUCAGAACCUGAAAGACACUUGGAGUAAUUGUUAUUUCAAGAAAGGAGAAAUACCAGCUAACU
rnacentral:sRNA from 1 species